UCUAACAUCUAACUCUUUUCAACAUAUCAAAGAUUAGGGUUUUGCGGCACUGAACGAUGCAAACUUUUCCCAUUUUCCUCUAAAUCAAUUUAACCUUGUAACAUUGCUGAUGAUGAUAUAAUCCAACUUUUUGAGGUGUUGUGGAGCCAAGCCCCUGUCUUCAGGGAGAACCUACUUGGCGAAGUUGCAUUCAUAUGACAUCUAUGGAUUUAACUGAGGCAAAAAUAAACUAUUUUUAUUUGAGUUUUACUAUGCUCUGAAUCAUAUUUGUUUGUUUAGUGUCUCAAGAAAUUAAAUAUUGUUGUCUUGUCAUCGGCUUAAUCUCCUCUAUGAACCACGAGUCAUUUGUUCUUUGUUUUUAAUUUGUUGAAA